UACAGAGGUCUCAAGCGUUGUUCGGAUUCAUUGGGCGUAAAGGGUGCGUAGGUGGCGCUGUAAGUCGGGUGUGAAAUUUCGGAGCUUAACUCCGAAACUGCAUUCGAUACUGCGGUGCUUGAGGACUGGAGAGGUGACUGGAAUUCAUGGUGUAGCAGUGAAAUGCGUAGAGAUCAUGAGGAAGACCAGUGGCGAAGGCGGGUCUCUGGACAGUUCCUGACACUGAGGCACGAAGGCCAGGGGAGCAAACGGG
rnacentral:rRNA from 1 species